rnacentral:rRNA from 1 species
CCUACGGGGUGCAGCAGUGGGGAAUAUUGGACAAUGGGCGAAAGCCUGAUCCAGCCAUGCCGCGUGUGUGAAGAAGGCCUUCGGGUUGUAAAGCACUUUCAGUGGGGAAGAAAGCCUUGGGGCUAAUACCCUCGAGGAAGGACAUCACCCACAGAAGAAGCACCGGCUAACUCCGUGCCAGCAGCCGCGGUAAUACGGAGGGUGCGAGCGUUAAUCGGAAUUACUGGGCGUAAAGCGCGCGUAGGCGGUCUGAUAAGCCGGUUGGGAAAGCCCCGGGCUCAACCUGGGAACGGCAUCCGGAACUGUCAGGCUAAAGGGCAGGAGAGGAAGGUAGAAUUCCCGGUGUAGCAGUGAAAUGCGUAGAGAUCGGGAGGAAUACCAGUGGCGAAGGCGGCCUUCUGGACUGACACUGACGCUGAGGUGCGAAAGCGUGGGUAGCAAACAGGAUUAGAUACCCUUGUAGUC